GUCUACGGCCAUACCACCCUGAACAUGCCUGAUCUCGUCUGAUGUCGGAAGCUAAGCAGAGUCGGGCCUGGUUAGUACUUGGCUGGGAGAAACUACAUUAAUUCUCCCAACAUCACAGGUAUGGAUU
ensembl:rRNA 5S_rRNA 5S ribosomal RNA